AUGCCAGACCACACCACGGACCACCGCGUGGUCAGCGCACCGGCGGGCGCGACCGUGAGCGGGAAAGUCGGCUGCUGCAACAGCGGCGGCGACGUCUGGGACGAGAUGUGCGCCGAGGCGCAGGCCGACGCGGAGUCCGAGCCGCUGCUGGGCAUGUUCUACUCCGAGCUCGUCCUGUCGCACCCGUCGCUGGAGGCCGCCCUCGCGGCGCACCUGCUUCCUCGCCCUGCAGGCCCACCGCGCCGCGCUCCUCCGCCGCCGGCGCCGUUCCUAGUCGCUGUGCAGUUUUAUCGACUCAUGGCAUCCAUGAAGUAUGAUCUUCCAUUUCUGGACCGUGACAUAAGGUUUAUCCUAUGGCAAGUCAAGAUGCGAGCGUUGUUGGCACAGUCUGACUAUGAUGAAGCACUGGAUAGUUUUGGGAAGAACCGAAUUCAGGACUGGACUGCUGAGAAGAAAAGAAUUGAUUAAUUUAAAGAGAUCAUAUCUGAUCUAUCUCCAAUGGAGGUUAAGUAUGAAGAGGAAGAUACUACUUUAAUGUUACUUUGUUCACUGCCAAGUUCUUAUAUAAACUUUAGAGACACCAUAUUAUACAGUCGUAAUACUCUCAUACUUAAUAAAGUUUAUGAAGCUUUGAACUCUAAGGAGAAGAUGAAAUUAAUGGUGCCUCAUGAUAGUUCCAGUUCAUACCAAGCCGAGGGAUUAUCUGUUCGUGGCCGGACAAAGGAGAAGAACUCCAAUAAUGGAAACAGAGGCAAAAGUAAGAAUGGCCAUAGGGGCCGGUCGCAAUCCAGAGACAAGAAAUAUUGCAGAUAUUGCAAGAGAGACGGGCAUGACAUCUCAGAGUGUUUCAAGUUGCAGAAUAAAGAAAAGAGGAAAGGUAACAAACAAGGUGAAAAUUCUGCUAACGUUGCUCGUGAUGAUAGUUCUGAUGAUGCUCUUGUCGUUAUUGCUGGAUGUGCUGAGACCAAUGAUGAGUGGGUACUUGACACUGUAUGUACUUUCCAUAUGUGGCCGCAUAGAGAUUGGUUUACUACUUUUGAUUCCACUACUUCUGCUGGUUCCAUUUUGGGUUUUGAUAAUUCACCAUGCAAGAUUGAAGGCAUAGGUUCCGUUCGAAUCAAGAUGUUUGAUGGUACAAUCAGAACUUUGACAGAUGUUCGGUAUAUUCUGAAGAUGAAGAGAAAUCUUAUUUCUGUUAGUGCCCUUGAUGCAAAGGGGUACAAGUAUUCAGGUGGAGAUAGUGUUUUGAAGGUCACCAAAGGCUCCCUUGUUGUGAUGAAAGGUGACUUAAGUUAG
rnacentral:rRNA from 1 species